UACGGGGGGGGCAAGCGUUGUUCGGAAUUCCUGGGCGUAAAGGGCGCGUAGGCGGUUCGCUAAGUUGAAUGUGAAAACUCUGGGCUUAACCCAGAGCCUGCAUUCAAUACUGGCGGGCUAGAGUUCUGGAGGGGAUAGCGGAAUUCCUGGUGUAGCGGUGAAAUGCGUAGAUAUCAGGAGGAACACCGGUGGCGAAGGCGGCUAUCUGGACAGAGUCUGACGCUGAGGCGCGAAAGCUAGGGGAGCAAACAGG
rnacentral:rRNA from 1 species